UGAGAGGUCCAAGCCACCGUGACAAAAAAAAAAAAAAAAAAAAGAGAGGUCCAAGCCACAAACCGGUUGUUGCCUAUAUAAUGAGAAACGAUGGGACAGGGAUCUGGAAUAGAGUUUCUAAACUGCUUUUUAUGUCUUGUCAGAUCCAUCAGAUCCAGAUCCAGUAAUGGCAGGUGCAGUAGCUAGAAUUUUGAAGAGGGUGGGUCUCCCUCCAUUGGGUGUUCUGGAUGUAAUCUCGAUAGGUUCAUUACCGGUCCUAGCCUAUAUAUACUUCCAGCAGGAAAAGCAAUUUGCUAGGCUUGAUGAGCAAGAAAAUCGUGUGAAUGCAACGGUUGCUGACAUGAGGGCUAGAGGAAUAAUUAGAGAUCGUUGAUGAUGCUGAUUUCUCUUGUUGAUGAUGAUGAUUUCUCUUCUUUUUAGUUUUACAUACGUUAGUUUUCCAUCUAUGAUAUUUUUUUUUUUUUUGUAACUGGCCUUUCCAUCUAUAAUAUUCCUAUUAAAUAAAAUAACUCUCUCUUUGCAUA